rnacentral:tRNA from 3 species
UGGGGGAUCGUCCAACGGCAGGACUGCAGACUCUGGAUCUGCCUAUCUAGGUUCGAAUCCUAGUCCCCCAGCCA